UAUUAAUCCUGCCCAUACUUCCAAACUUCUUAUAAUUUAGUCUGUAAAUUUUAUUUUCCUGGGUUGACUUUAAAAAGUUCUUUGAUUACUUUAAGAAAAAAAAUAUUUAUUUAUUUAAUGUGAUGCUAAGGAUCGAACCCAGUGCCUCAUACAUGCGAGGCAAGCGCUCUGCCACCCAGCUACAACCCCAGCCCAAAUUCUUUGAUUACUUUCUAUCUUAGUGGUAUGCACAUUUAACAUUUGGCCCUAUCACUUUUCAGAUGAUUUAAAAAUUUUUUUCCGUUUAUUGCUAAAACUGAUUUUCAUGCAACACAACUCUCUGUUCCUGAGGAAUAUACAUUAUUUUUUCUCUGAGGUCCUUAAUACAACCUCUUGUGAGGGCUGGGGUUGUGGCUCAGCAGUAGAGCGCUCGCCUAGCACAUUCGAGGCCCUGGGUUUGAUCCUCAGCACCACAUAAAAAUAAAUAAAAUAAAGAUAUUGUGCCCAGCUACAACUAAAAAAUAAAUAUUAAAAAAAAAUACAAUGAGGGACAGAUUUCAGUAGUUUUAAAAAAUCUGGUCACUAAUUUACAUAAGUUGAUGGUAAAACAAAUCUAAAUUUGUUUCACUAUCUGACUUAAUGAAGCCAGUGCCUAGUCUUCUUAGGUGAAUAAACUGAUACAGCGUUUUUACUAUGUAACCCCCAAGUGCUUUGUAAAUGUCCUGGUUAUUCAGGGUUUCUGGAGUGUGUUAUGGGAGAAUUUCAUCUUUGAACUAUUUUAAUAGUACCUACCAAUUUUAAACUAUAAAUUUCAAAACCAGUUUCUGAUGAUUUAACAUAGGAUAAGUAUUGUGGAAUUAAAGAUGAGAAUUGUGCCAUUUGUAAUUAUUUUUCAUUCUCAUAUUUUGUUUAAAGAAAAUGUUUCUUGAAAUAUUAUAUUUUGGUAGAAUGGAUGCUCUGAAUUUAAACCUGUUGCCGACCGUGGUUUUCAGUAGCUUGGAGCUUGGUGUUGUCAAGAGACUUGUUUUGG
rnacentral:lncRNA from 1 species